rnacentral:rRNA from 1 species
AGAACGAACGCUGGCGGCAUGCCUAAUACAUGCAAGUCGAACGAACUCUUCGGAGUUAGUGGCGCACGGGUGCGUAACGCGUGGGAAUCUGCCCCUUGGUUCGGAAUAACAGUUGGAAACGACUGCUAAUGCCGGAUGAUGACGAAAGUCCAAAGAUUUAUCGCCAAGGGAUGAGCCCGCGUAGGAUUAGCUAGUUGGUGAGGUAAAGGCUCACCAAGGCAACGAUCCUUAGCUGGUCUGAGAGGAUGAUCAGCCACACUGGGACUGAGACACGGCCCAGACUCCUACGGGAGGCAGCAGUAGGGAAUAUUGGACAAUGGGCGAAAGCCUGAUCCAGCAAUGCCGCGUGAGUGAUGAAGGCCUUAGGGUUGUAAAGCUCUUUUACCCGAGAUGAUAAUGAACAGUAUCGGAGAAUAAGCCCGGCUAACUCCGUGCCAGCAGCCGC